rnacentral:rRNA from 1 species
UUUGAUUAAGCUACUAAGGGCGCACGGUGGAUGCCUUGGCAUUAAUAGGCGAUGAAGGACGUGGUAAGCUGCGAUAAACUUCGGGGAGCUGCAAACAAGCUUUGAUCCGGAGGUGUCCGAAUGGGAAAACCCGGCGGGAGUAAUGUCUCGUCACUGGAGUCUGAAUCAAAUAGGGCUUCAGAGCGAAACCUGGUGAAGUGAAACAUCUCAGUAACCAGAGGAAAAGAAAACAAAAGUGAUUCCGCAAGUAGUGGCGAGCGAACGCGGAGCAGUCUAAACCAGUCGGCUUGCUGAUUGGGGUUGCGGGACCAUAAUAUGAGAUUUGUGACGAUAGCGGAAAGUUCUGGAAAGUUCUCCAAUACAAGGUGAUAGGCCUGUACGCGAAAUCGAAUCGAACUCUAUUGGUAUCCCAAGUAGGUCGGGACACGUGAAACCCUGACUGAAUCCGGAGGGCCCACCCUCCAAGACUAAAUACUAAUUAAUGACCGAUAGUGAACCAGUACCGUGAGGGAAAGGUGAAAAGAACCGCUGUUAGCGGAGUGAAAUAGAACCUGAAACCGUGCGCUUACAAACUGUAGUAGCCCCUUUGGGGGUGGCUGCAUGCCUUUUGCAUAAUGAGUCCGCGAGUUACCGUAUCUGGCAAGGUUAAGCAUCUACGAUGUGGAGCCGAAGCGAAAGCGAGUGUGAAUAGCGCGUUGAGUCAGAUGCGGUAGACCCGAAGCCGAGUGAGCUACCCAUGGCCCGGGUGAAUCCUGAGUAAAAUCAGGGGGAGGCCCCAACCAGUGUAUGUUGAAAAAUACUUGGAUGAGCUGUGGGUUGGAGCGAAAGACUUACCAAACUCGGUGAUAGCUGGUUCUCCUCGAAAUACCUUGAGGGAUAGCCUCGACGAAUGCUCGAAACGGAGGUAGAGCACUGAUUGGAAAAGGGUCCUUACCGGGAUACCAACGCCUAUCAAACUCCGAAUGCCGUUUCAGUCACGUCGGGAGUCAGACUGUGGGGGAUAAGCUUCAUAGUCAAAAGGGAAACAGCCCAGACCGCCAGUUAAGGCCCCUAAAGAUAAUUAAGUGAUGAAGGAUGUCAGAUUGCACAGACAGCUAGGAUGUUGGCUUAGAAGCAGCCACCAUUUAAACAAAGCGUAAUAGCUGACUAGUCGAGUGAUCUGGCGCCGAAAAUGAUCGGGACUAAAAUUAUCUGCCGAAGCUGCGGAUGUGCUUUAAGCACGUGGUAGAGGAGCGUUGUAUGUGCAUUGAAGUGUGGGGGUGACCCAGCAUGGAGCGUAUACAAGUGAUUAUGCGGACAUGAGUAACGACAAGAGUGGUGAGAGUCCACUCCGCCGAAAUCCUAAGGUUUCCUGGGGAAGGUUCGUCCGCCCAGGGUUAGUCGGUCCCUAAGUCCAGGCUGAAAAGCGUAGACGAUGGGUGACGGGUUUAAUAUUCCCGUACUACCGUACAUGAGUGAAGGAGGGACGCAGGAAGUUAGGUUAGCUGUCGAUUGGAUGUGACAGUCUAAGCUUGUAGGAAGUUUCGAUAGGAAAAUCCGUCGGGACAAUUCCGAGAAGUUAUGGGUUUUUUGAGUCUUCGGACAAGAUUAACUAACUGAUACUAUGCUGCCAAGAAAAGCUUCUAAACGUUGAAUGUAAGGUAACCGUACCAAAACCGACACAGGUGGGAGGGAAGAAUAUUCCAAGGCGCGCGAGAGAAUCAUCGUUAAGGAACUCGGCAAACUAGCCCCGUAUCUUCGGAAGAAGGGGCCCUCUAUUGAGUGAAGAAUUUACUUCGUAAGCUCUUUGGAGGUGCAAUGAAAGGGCCCAGGCGACUGUUUAUCAAAAACACAGCACUAUGCUAACGCGCAAGCGGAUGUAUAUGGUGUGACACGUGACCAAUGCCGAAAGGUUAAGGCAAGGGGUGCAAGCUCCGACCCGAAGCCCCGGUGAAUGUCGGCCGUAACUAUAACGGUCCUAAGGUAGCGAAAUUCCUUGUCGGGUAAGUUCCGACCUGCACGAAUCGUGUAACGAUCUGGGCGCUGUCUCAACGAUAAUCUCGGUGAAGUUGUAGUUCCGGUGAAAAUGCCGGAUACCCGCGGUAGGACGGAAAGACCCCGUGAACCUUUACUGUAAUCUGAUAUUGGGUUUUGAUUCAUCACGUGUAGGAUAGCUGGGAGGCUUUGAAGCUGUGUCGUAAGGUACGGUGGAGCCAUUGGUGAAAUACCAGUCUUGAUGCAGCGAAAUUCUAACUACGACCCGUGAAACCGGGCGUGGAACAGUGUCAGAGGGUCAGUUUGACUGGGGCGGUUUCCUCCCAAACAGUAACGGAGGAGCGCAAAGGUUCCCUCAGCAUGGUCAGCAAUCAUGCGUAGAGCGUAUAGGUAUAAGGGAGCUUAACUGCGAGACCUACAAGUCGAGCAGGUGCGAAAGCAGGUCUAAGUGAUCCGGCGGUUGCUAGUGGUAGCGCCGUCGCUCAACGGAUAAAAGGUACUCCGGGGAUAACAGGCUGAUGACUGCCAAGAGUCCAUAUCGACGCAGUCGUUUGGCACCUCGAUGUCGGCUCAUCGCAUCCUGGGGCUGGAGAAGGUCCCAAGGGUUUGGCUGUUCGCCAAUUAAAGCGGUACGCGAGCUGGGUUCAGAACGUCGUGAGACAGUUUGGUCCUUAUCCGCCGUG